rnacentral:rRNA from 1 species
CCCUUAGAUGUCCUGGGCUGCACGCGCGCUACACUGACGAACUCAACGAGCUUAUCACCUUGGCAGAGAUGUCUGGGUAAUCUUUUGAAAGUUCGUCGUGCUGGGGAUAGAUGAUUGUAAUUAUUCGUCUUGAACGAGGAAUUCCUAGUAAGUGUGAGUCAUCAGCUCGCGCUGAUUACGUCCCUGCCCUUUGUACACACCGCCCGUCGCUCCUACCGAUUGAAUGGUCCGGUGAGGUUCUCGGAUUUUUUCUGUUGUUUGGUUCGCUAAACGAUUGAAGAGAGAAGUUACCCAAACCUACCAUUUAGAGGAAGGAGAAGUCGUAACA